CACCUCUGCUCUUUCUGUUUCACAACAACAGGUGUGUGUUUGCCUUCUUAAAUGUAUUUUGCAUGACUUUCAUGCAUCACUGCUCCUCAGAGUUUAAGUUCUUGUGUCACAGAGAGUCUGAACUGUUUUCAUGCACUCACACUGAAAACUGCAUCAGGAUGAUGUCGCCAAUAACUCUGCUGGUCAUGUUGGGUUUUCUGAGUCAGGAGUCUUCUGCCAACAAAUUUCUGACUCAGACUGACAAAUUCAAGUCUGUUAGUCUUGGAGGGACGGUGACCAUCAGCGCCACAGGGAGUUCAGAUAUUGUUUAUGUCAGUUGGUACCUUCAGAAACCUGGACAAGCUACCAAACUUCUAAUAUACGACGAUUCCACUCUAAACUCAGGAACUCCACCUCGAUUCAGUGGCAGUAGAUCUGGUUCUGGCUACACUCUGACCAUCAGUGGUGUUCAGGCUGAAGAUGUUGGAGAUUACUACUGUCUUGGCGUACAUACUGAUGUAACGUUCACACAGUGAUAUAGAGUCGUACAAAAACCUCCUUCAGUUUGACUGAAGUGAAAACGGCCUGCUGCAGCUGCAGAGGGUUGAUGAAGAGACUGUGAUGAGGAUAACUGGUCGAGUGAACACAACACUGUGACUCUGACACACAAGAGUCAUCAAGCAGAACCACAAUGAACCCAAAUUAGACUGAAACAAACUGAAAGACAUUUUCCAACCUGCAGUUUUUAAGUUAAAUCUUCAUCAUUAUUUCACAUCAUUUCAAGAACAGAGUUGUUGUAAGAAUAUAUCCUCUGACAGCAACAAAAUUCAACAAUAUUUCCACCAAUAGUUUUACAUUCAGCAGCACAAAACAAUCUACUGUAACAGUUUCAUCUAAAAAAGUUUUUGAUUCAGAAAUGAUAAAUAUGUUAUACUUUAUAUUUCAUAUUAUAUUGUUACACAUACUAUAAAAUAAUGAAUAGAAACCUGACUUGAUGUUGAAGUGAAGCAUGUUGGAAAGAUGAGGUAUAAUACUGGCAUGAAUAUGCAUUUCUCAUGAAUAAUAUAUCACAAAAUACACACAAAGAUAGUGAUUUACUAUAAUAUUCAGUUUUAUUUUAUUGGUUACAUGUUUGAAUGAUUAAAAAAUGGUUAUAUUGAAACAUAAUGGCAAUGCAUCAGAAUAUGAGUAAGAUUAAUGAGAGAAAACUGAAUACACAUCAAGAUAGAGUCAUGAUUUUGCACAAAUAGUUGAACAGAGUAGAUCUGUAGCCUCAUCAAUAUCUCUGAACUACAACACACCUACUGGAGAAGAAAGAGGGAGGAAUACAUCUUCACUCAGCUACAUAGAUUCAAUUCUUGUCUUGUAUUUUUUGUAAUAGAGAAACAUCUUUUGACACCAAAUCAUGUUUUUUUUUCCACAUUUACUCUCAAUAGAAGAGCUCUGACAAAUGUUGCCUGAUCACAUAUUUCAGUCAUGAUUUUUUCAACACUGAAAAUCUAAUUCCAAAAUAUAUUUUCCAAGUUUUUUAAUCAUGAUAUAAAUUUGUAUUUAAAAAAAAACAUUAUUGUUACUACAUUAUUCUACUUUCAUUAUCAGUUAAAAUGUUAAUUAAUUUUGUCACUUAAGUCCGAA